rnacentral:misc_RNA from 1 species
CUAUCGCUGAUCCGAUUGCAUCCACGUGCAGUCGGUCGACAUGGGCCUUCAGCACUGAUCGCCUCGAAUUGCUCGCGAUCGUCGUGGUAGACAGGGGGUGGCAGUGAUGCCGCCCAGUGCUGUCGACGAUCAACCCGUGC